rnacentral:tRNA from 1 species
UUAAUUGAAGCCAAAGUAGAGGCUUUUCAUUGUUAAUGAAAAAAGUGAUUUAUCAUCCGAUUAAA